GACGAACGCUGGCGGCGUGCCUAAUACAUGCAAGUCGAACGCAGUGGGGACGGGUGAGUAACACGUGGGUAACCUCCCAUCAGAGGGGAUAACACUUGGAAACAGGUGCUAAACCGAUACUGAUGGAUGGACCCGCGGUGCAUUAGCUAGUUGGUGAGGUAACGGCUCACCAAGGCCACGAUGCAUAGCCGGCUUGAGAGGGUGAUCGGCCAUACUGGGACUGAGCCACGGCCCAGCCUCCUACGGGAGGCAGCAGUGGGGAAUCUUUGGCAAUGGCCGAAAGUCUGACCGAGCAUCGCCGCGUUAGUGAAGAAGGUUUUCGGUUCGUAAAGCUCUGUUGUUGGAGAGGCGGUAUCUACCCAGCAAGCCACGGCUAACUACGUGCCAUCAGCCGCGGUAAUUC
rnacentral:rRNA from 1 species